rnacentral:rRNA from 1 species
AACGAACGCUGGCGGCAUGCCUAACACAUGCAAGUCGAACGAUUGCCUUCGGGUGAUAGUGGCGCACGGGUGCGUAACGCGUGGGAAUCUGCCCUUAGGUUCGGAAUAACAGCUGGAAACGGCUGCUAAUACCGGAUGAUAUCGCGAGAUCAAAGAUUUAUCGCCUGAGGUUGAGCCCGCGUUGGAUUAGGUAGUUGGUGGGGUAAAGGCCUACCAAGCCGACGAUCCAUAGCUGGUCUGAGAGGAUGAUCAGCCACACUGGGACUGAGACACGGCCCAGACUCCUACGGGAGGCAGCAGUGGGGAAUAUUGGACAAUGGGCGCAAGCCUGAUCCAGCAAUGCCGCGUGAGUGAUGAAGGCCCUAGGGUUGUAAAGCUCUUUUACCCGGGAAGAUAAUGACUGUACCGGGAGAAUAAGCCCCGGCUAACUCCGU